CUGGCUCAGAAUCAACGCUGGCGGCGUGCCUAACACAUGCAAGUCGAGCGAGAAAAGGGGGGCAACUCCCUGAGUACAGCGGCGCACGGGUGAGUAACACGUGGGUAAUCUGCCCUGGAGUGGGGAAUAACACCGGGAAACCGGUGCUAAUACCGCAUACGAUCACAGAGUCUGCGGACAUUGUGAUGAAAGGAGCAAUUCGCUCUAGGAGGAGCCCGCGGCUGAUUAGCUAGUUGGUGAGGUAAUGGCUCACCAAGGCUACGAUCAGUAUCCGGUCUGAGAGGACGGUCGGACACACUGGAACUGAGACACGGUCCAGACUCCUACGGGAGGCAGCAGUGGGGAAUUUUUGGCAAUGGGGGGCCAACCCUGACCAAGCAACGCCGCGUGGGUGAUGAAGUCUCUUGGGACGUAAAACCCUUUCGACGGGGAAGAAACCGCAAGGUUGACGGUACCCGUAGAAGAAGCCCCGGCUAACUCCGUGCCAGCAGCGGC
rnacentral:rRNA from 1 species